CCUACGGGUGGCAGCAGUGGGGAAUAUUGCACAAUGGGGGAAACCCUGAUGCAGCAACGCCGCGUGAGGGAAGACGGUUUUCGGAUUGUAAACUUCUGUUCUCAGUGAAGAAUAAUGACGUGAGCUAAGGAGCAAGCCACGGCUAACUACGUGCCAGCAGCCGCGGUAAUACGUAGGUGGCAAGCGUUGUCCGGAAUUACUGGGUGUAAAGGGAGCGCAGGCGGGAAGCCAAGUCAGCUGUGAAAACUACAGGCUUAACUUGUAGACUGCAGUUGAAACUGUUGAACUAGAUUGCAGGAGAGGUAAGUGGAAUUCCUAGUGUAGCGGUGAAAUGCGUAGAUAUUAGGAGGAACACCAGUGGCGAAGGCGGCUUACUGGACUGUAAAUGACGCUGAGGCUCGAAAGCGUGGGGAGCAAACAGGAUUAGAUACCCCAGUAGUC
rnacentral:rRNA from 1 species